CUAGCUUGCUAGAUGUCCUUAGUGGCGAACGGGUGAGUAACGCGUGGGAACCUACCUUGGAGCGGGGAAUAACUAUUGGAAACGAUAGCUAAUACCGCAUAAUCCCUUAGGGGGAAAGGCUUCGGCCGCUCUUGGAUGAUCCCGCGUCUGAUUAGCUAGUUGGUUGGGUAACGGCUGACCAAGGCGACGAUCAGUAGCUGGUCUGAGAGGAUGAUCAGCCACACUGGGACUGAGACACGGCCCAGACUCC
rnacentral:rRNA from 1 species